rnacentral:rRNA from 1 species
AAACUUAAAUGAAUUGACGGGACCCGCACAAGCAGCGGAGCGUGUGGUUUAAUUCGUUGCUACACGAAGAACCUUACCUGGGUUUGACAUAUAGGUUGUAGGGAACUGAAAAGGGACCGACCCUUCGGGGAGCCUAUACAGGUGUUGCAUGGCUGUCGUCAGCUCGUGUCGUGAGAUGUUCGGUUAAGUCCGCUAACGAGCGCAACCCUCGUCGUAUGUUAUAUGUGUCAUACGAGACUGCCGGUAAAAAGCCGGAGGAAGGUGAGGAUGAUGUCAAGUCAGCAUGACCUUUAUAUCCAGGGCUACACACACGCUACAAUGGUCUGUACAAUGGGUAGCCAAGCCGCGAGGCGGAGCCAAUCCUGAAAGCAGGCCUCAGUUCAGAUUGCAGUCUGCAACUCGACUGCAUGAAGCCGGAGUUGCUAGUAACCGCAGGUCAGCAAUACUGCGGUGAAUACGUUCCCGGGUCUU